GGAAAUGUGGCUCAGUGGUAGAGUGCUUGCCCUAGCAUGCAUGAAGCCCUGGGUUCAAUUCCUCAGCACCA
rnacentral:tRNA from 1 species